GACGUAGGAUGCGAGCGUUGUCCGGAUUUAUUGGGCGUAAAGAGUUCGUAGGUGGUUUGUUAAGUUCGGUGUUAAAGACUGGGGCUCAACCUCGGGAGUGCAUUGAAUACUGGCAGACUUGAGUAUGGUAGAGGCGAGUGGAAUUCCCAGUGUAGCGGUGAAAUGCGUAGAUAUUGGGAAGAACACCGGUGGCGUAAGCGACUCGCUGGGCCAUAACUGACACUGAGGAACGAAAGCCAGGGGAGCGAAUGGG
rnacentral:rRNA from 1 species